rnacentral:pre_miRNA from 1 species
AGUAGGAUUGCUGGAUCACAGUAAAGUGUAUUUUUAACUUUAUAAGAAACUGCCAAAUUAUUUUGCAAAGUGACUGUACUAGUUUGCAUUUCCACCAGCAAU